rnacentral:rRNA from 1 species
AUUGAACGCUGGCGGCGUGCUUAACACAUGCAAGUCGAGCGGCAGCGGGCCCGCAAGGGUGCCGGCGAGCGGCGGACGGGUGAGCAAUACAUAGGAAUCUGCCUCAGAGCGGGGGAUAGCCAGGGGAAACCCUGAUUAAUACCGCAUGACGUCGAGAGACCAAAGUGGGGAUCGUAAGACCUCACACUCUGAGAUGAGCCUAUGUCGGAUUAGCUAGUUGGCGGGGUAACGGCCCACCAAGGCGACGAUCCGUAGCUGGUCUGAGAGGACGAUCAGCCACACCGGAACUGAGACACGGUCCGGACUCCUACGGGAGGCAGCAGUGGGGAAUAUUGGACAAUGGGCGAAAGCCUGAUCCAGCGACGCCGCGUGGUGAAGAAGGCCUCGGGUUGUAAAGCCUUUAAGCCGGGACGAAAAGCUGCACCUAACACGUGCGGCCUUGACGGUACCGGAAGAAUAAGCACCGGCUAACUCUGUGCCAGCAGCCGCGGUAAUACAGAGGGUGCGAGCGUUAAUCGGAUUUACUGGGCGUAAAGCGUGUGUAGGUGGCUUCCUAAGUCGGUUGUGAAAUCCCUGGGCUCAACCUGGGAAUUGCAGUCGAUACUGGGAAGCUCGAGUUCGGUAGAGGACGGCGGAAUUCCCGGUGUAGCGGUGAAAUGCGUAGAUAUCGGGAGGAACAUCGAUGGCGAAAGCAACCGUCUGGGGCCUGAACUGACACUGAGACACGAAAAGCGUGGGGGA